GAGCUCUUUCUUGAUUUUGUGGGUGGUGGUGCAUGGCCGUUCUUAGUUGGUGGAGUGAUUUGUCUGCUUAAUUGCGAUAACGAACGAGACCUUAACCUACUAAAUAGUGCUGCUAGCUUUUGCUGGUAUAGUCACUUCUUAGAGGGACUAUCGAUUUCAAGUCGAUGGAAGUUUGAGGCAAUAACAGGUCUGUGAUGCCCUUAGACGUUCUGGGCCGCACGCGCGCUACACUGACGGAGCCAGCGAGUUUAUACCUUGGCCGAGAGGUCUGGGAAAUCUUGUGAAACUCCGUCGUGCUGGGGAUAGAGCAUUGUAAUUAUUGCUCUUCAACGAGGAAUUCCUAGUAAGCGCAAGUCAUCAGCUUGCGUU
rnacentral:rRNA from 1 species